UACGUAGGGUCCGAGCGUUGUCCGGAAUUAUUGGGCGUAAAGGGCUCGUAGGCGGUUUGUCGCGUCGGGAGUGAAAACCAGGUGCUUAACACCUGGCCUGCUUUCGAUACGGGCAGACUAGAGGCAUUCAGGGGAGAACGGAAUUCCGUGGUGUGAGCGGUGAAAUGCGCAGAUAUCAGGAGGAACACCGGUGGCGAAGGCGGUUCUCUGGGAAUGUCCUGACGCUGAGGAGCGAAAGUGUGGGAGGCGAACAGG
rnacentral:rRNA from 1 species